rnacentral:rRNA from 1 species
CAGCCGCCGCGGUAAUACCGGCGGCCCGAGUGGCGGUCACUAUUAUUGGGCUUAAAGCGUCCGUAGCCGGGGUGGGAAGUCCUCCGGGAAAUCUGGCCGCUUAAAGGUCAGAAUGCCGGAGGAUACUCCCAGCCUAGGGAGCGGGAGAGGCCGAGGGUAUUCCCGGAGUAGGGGUGAAAUCCUAUAAUCCCGGGAGGACCACCUGUGGCGAAGGCGCUCGGCUGGAACGCGUCCGACGGGGAGGGACGAAGGCCAGGGGAGCAAACCGGAUUAGAUACCCGGGUAGUCCUGGCUGUAAACGAUGCGGACUUUGUGUCGGACAAGCUAUGAGCUUGUCCGGUGCCGGAGGGAAACCGUUAAGUCCGCCGCCUGGGGAGUACGGCCGCAAGGCUGAAACUUAAAGGAAUUGGCGGG